rnacentral:rRNA from 1 species
GAUGAACGCUGACGGCGUGCCUAAUACAUGCAAGUCGAGCGAACGGACGAGAAGCUUGCUUCUCUGAUGUUAGCGGCGGACGGGUGAGUAACACGUGGAUAACCUACCUAUAAGACUGGGAUAACUUCGGGAAACCGGAGCUAAUACCGGAUAAUAUUUUGAACCGCAUGGUUCAAAAGUGAAAGACGGUCUUGCUGUCACUUAUAGAUGGAUCCGCGCUGCAUUAGCUAGUUGGUAAGGUAACGGCUUACCAAGGCAACGAUGCAUAGCCGACCUGAGAGGGUGAUCGGCCACACUGGAACUGAGACGCGGUCCAGACUCCUACGGGAGGCAGCAGUAGGGAAUCUUCCGCAAUGGGCGAAAGCCUGACGGAGCAACGCCGCGUGAGUGAUGAAGGUCUUCGGAUCGUAAAACUCUGUUAUUAGGGAAGAACAUAUGUGUAAGUAACUGUGCACAUCUUGACGGUACCUAAUCAGAAAGCCACGGCUAACUACGUG